GUCUUCGUGGUGUAGUGCUCAGCGCACCCGUCUAGAAAACGGGAGACGUUGGUUCAAAUCCUACCGGUGUCU
rfam:Oryctes borbonicus contig10123, whole genome shotgun sequence.